UUAGGUUAAGUUAUGAAGGGCGCAUGGUGAAUGCCUUGGUACUAGGAGCCGAUGAAGGACGGGACUAACACCGAUAUGCUUCGGGGAGCGGUAAGUACGCUUUGAUCCGGAGAUUUCCGAAUGGGGCAACCCAAUCAGCUUAGUCGCUGAUUACUUGACUAGUGAAUACAUAGCUAGCAAGAGGUAGACGCAGUGAACUGAAACAUCUUAGUAGCUGCAGGAAGAGAAAGAAACAUCGAUUCCCUGAGUAGCGGCGAGCGAAAAGGGAAGAGCCCAAACCAACGAGCUUGCUUGUUGGGGUUGUAGGACUGAACAUUAGAGUUACCAAAGUGCGACGUAGUCGCAACAGUUGGGAAGCUGUGCCAUAGAGGGUGAAAGCCCCGUAGACGAAACGUC
rnacentral:rRNA from 2 species